UGCCUAUAAAAUCUAAAGACACCCCUUUUAUCUCUCUCGAAAACCCUCUCGACAAUAUUCGGCUAUCAGAAAAAGAGACCCACAAGGAAACAGAACCCUGAUCCAAGAUGAGAGCUAAGUGGAAGAAGAAGCGUAUGAGGAGGUUGAAGAGGAAGCGCAGAAAGAUGAGACAGAGAUCCAAGUAAGCUGUGGACUUGGACAGGAUG